UCCGAAAAAUCCGAGAAGAGAAAAAUCUGAUAGCUACUCAUUAGUAACUGAGGUGGAACAGAAAGGAUCUGAAAAGCAGAGAGGCCAUUCCGAUGCCUUUAUGUACUUGUUCUCCGCUUCUUCCUCCUCCUCCAACGGUCAACAGUCAUUCCCUUCCUCACCGCCGCGCCUAUUCUUCAUCCUCCAUACGCCGUCGUUUCACCUCCCAAGCCAAACCCAUUUUCUCCUUCCCGCCAAAUUCCGCCAAGUUUUCCAGAACACCGCUACUUCAAUGCUCGUCCUCAUUGCCCAUGACUGCCGAGCAAGACUCCUCUUCAACCUCACAACCCCAGGUGCAGGGAAGCUUGUUGAAAUCAAGGGCAUUCUGGGUUAGUGAAUCAAUCAUUGCCUGGAAUGUGGAUGCUGGAAAUGAUUCGUGCUACUUAUUCGCUAGUGGAACUGCGGCGUUGUCAUUAACGGGUGAUGGAGUUUUGGGUGAGGAUGUAAAAGUUCAGCUUCAAGAGGAUAGACAUGGGCUACCGGAAAAUGUGAAAACAAAGUUUCCUCAUAUCAAAGACUACAGAGCGUUUAGGGUCCCCCCUGAUCUGGAUGUCAGACCUCUUCUCAAAGCUCAGUUGGCAGUUGCUACUUUCAGUUCUUAUGGAAUGUGCAGCGAUGCUACUGGUCUGCAGUUACCGGGCGUCCUAGAUGAAUUGUUCUCGUAUGAUGGUCCCCUUGGUGCAGUGUAUUCGAAAGAAGCUGUGUCCCUUUACCUGUGGGCACCUACUUCUCAGGCAGUAUCUGUAUUGGUCUAUAAGGAGCCAUCGGGUGGAAAUCCCUUAGAAAUUGUGCAGCUUGAGGAAGUUAAUGGCGUUUGGAGUACUAGAGGACCAAAAACUUGGGAAGGAUGCUACUAUGUGUAUGAAGUGUCUGUAUACCACCCUAGCACCUUACAAAUUGAAAAGUGCUAUGCAAAUGAUCCAUAUGCUAGAGGGCUCUCAGCAGAUGGUAGGCGGACAUUGUUCAUCAAUCUUGAUUCUGAUCAUAUAAAACCAGAAGGAUGGGAUAAAUUGGUAGAUGAGAAACCUGAUAUACAUUCUUCUUCGGACAUAAGUAUUUACGAGUUGCACAUAAGAGAUUUCAGUGCCAAUGACCAGACGGUGCUUCCUGAAUUUCGCGGUGGAUAUCUGGCAUUCACUUUGCAGGACUCGGCUGGCGUAUCUCAUUUGAAGAAAUUAUCAAAUGCUGGUAUCACUCAUGUCCAUCUACUGCCAGCCUACCAAUUUGCAGGUGUUGAUGAUGAGAAGGGGAACUGGAAGAGUGUAGAUUCCAAGAUUCUUGAAAAGUUUCCUUCAGAUUCAUCCGAGCAACAAGCUCUAAUUACAGCGAUCCAAAAUGAUGAUGGGUAUAACUGGGGGUACAACCCUGUCCUUUGGGGGGUCCCUAAAGGAAGCUAUGCAAGUAAUGCAAAUGGUUCAUGCCGGGCAAUUGAGUUUAGGAAGAUGGUUCAGGCACUUAAUCGUUUUGGCCUUCGUGUUGUCUUGGAUGUUGUCUACAAUCAUUUGCAUGGAAGUGGGCCAUUUGAUGAAAAUUCAGUUCUUGAUAAGAUUGUUCCAGGUUACUACUUGAGAAGAAACACUGAUGGUUUUAUUGAGAAUAGUACAUGUGUAAACAACACUGCUAGCGAGCAUUUUAUGGUAGAGCGUUUAAUUCUUGAUGAUCUUUUGCACUGGGCAGUUGAUUUUAAGGUUGAUGGAUUCCGGUUUGACCUUAUGGGUCAUAUAAUGAAAAGAACAAUGGUGAAAGCAAAAGAUGCACUUUGCAGCCUAACAAAGGAUAGAGAUGGAGUUGAUGGCUCAAGUAUCUAUAUAUAUGGUGAAGGAUGGGAUUUUGGUGAAGUGGCCAACAAUGGGCGUGGAGUAAAUGCAUCGCAGUUCAAUAUUUGUGGUACUGGAAUUGGGAGUUUUAAUGAUCGAAUACGGGAUGCAAUACUGGGUGGUUCUCCAUUUGGCCAUCCUCUUCAGCAAGGAUUUGUGACUGGUCUACUAUUACAGCCUAAUGGUUACGAUCAUGGCCCAGAAGUUGUUGCAGAACGUAUGCUUGCUGAAUCAAAGGAUCACAUUCAGGUUGGUAUGGCUGCAAACUUGAGGGACUUUGUGCUAACCAAUUAUGAAGGGAAAGAGGUAAAAGGAUCAGAAGUAUUGACAUAUGGUGGGACAAGUGUAGCAUAUGCUUUGGACCCUACUGAAACUGUUAAUUAUGCUUCAGCUCAUGACAACGAAACUCUUUUUGACAUUGUGAGUCUGAAGACUCCAUUUGAAAUUUCUGUAGAAGAGAGAUGCAGGAUAAAUCUCUUGGCGUCAAGCAUAAUAGCACUAUCACAGGGAAUUCCAUUUUUCCACUCCGGCGAUGAGAUGCUCCGGUCCAAAUCACUUGAUCGCGACUCAUACAAUUCUGGUGAUUGGUUCAACAGGAUUGACUUCACUUAUAAUUCCAACAAUUGGGGUGUUGGCCUUCCUCCAAAAGAGAAAAAUGAAAAGAGCUGGCCACUAAUGAAACCAAGAUUAGCAGAGCCAUCCUUUAAGCCUCAGAAGAGUCACAUCCAUGCUGCUGUGGAGAAUUUUUCAGAUUUGUUACGUAUUAGGUACUCUUCACCACUUUUCCGUCUGAGGACAGCAAAUGCUAUUCAGGAACGCGUACGUUUCCACAAUACUGGGCCUGCAUCAGUCCCUGGUGUCAUAGUAAUGGGCAUUGAAGAUGGUCAUGAAGGACUACCAGGGUUAUCUCAAAUGGAUCCAAUCUACUCCUACAUUGUGGUUAUCGUCAAUGCACGCCCAACUGAGGUGUCAUUUACAAGUUCUUCUAUUCGUGCUAGGACCCUUCAAUUGCAUCCUGUACAGGUAAUUGUGGAGUAAACUCUUAAUGGUAGAGGAAAUUUGCCUAAAUUUGAGCCAUCAAAGAGAGCAUUGUGGAUUUUCAGGAGAAAAAAAAUGGUUGAGUCAAAUGAUGAAAUAGUGAAGAGAUCUACUUAUGACAUAGGCUCGGGAUGCUUUACUGUGCCUGCAAGGACGACAUCUGUGUUUGUCGAGCCUCGGGGGGUAUGAGUUGCUCUCUGCUGCAUGGUUCACUAAGAAUGUUAUAAAUGCCACAAUUGACCAGUGAUAUAAUAAGUUCCCCAGCCAGUGGAGUAUGGCUCUUAAGUUCUUAUCCAACAAGAGGACUAGGAGUAACACUUGGGGGUUUAGUCUGGUCUCCUUGAGAUGGCAGAGAAGCAAAACGGAAUGGCUUUCUGAUGCACUUGUAUAUAUGUAUUACGCAGUGGAGUAUGUUUUGAAGAAUCGAAGAAAUACUCAUUUCCAUUUCA